rnacentral:rRNA from 1 species
GGGGGCCCGCACAAGCGGCGGAGCAUGCGGAUUAAUUCGAUGCAACGCGAAGAACCUUACCAAGGCUUGACAUGAACCGGAAACACCUGGAAGCAGGUGCCCCGCUUGCGGUCGGUUUACAGGUGGUGCAUGGUUGUCGUCAGCUCGUGUCGUGAGAUGUUGGGUUAAGUCCCGCAACGAGCGCAACCCUCGUUCUAUGUUGCCAGCGCGUUAUGGCGGGGACUCAUAGGAGACUGCCGGGGUCAACUCGGAGGAAGGUGGGGACGACGUCAAAUCAUCAUGCCCCUUAUGUCUUGGGCUUCACGCAUGCUACAAUGGCCGGUACAAAGGGUUGCGAUACUGUGAGGUGGAGCUAAUCCCAAAAAGCCGGUCUCAGUUCGGAUUGGGGUCUGCAACUCGACCCCAUGAAGUCGGAGUCGCUAGUAAUCGCAGAUCAGCAACGCUGCGGUGAAUACGUUCCCGGGCCUUGUACACACCGCCCGUCAAGUCACGAAAGUUGGUAACACCCGAAGCCGGUGGCCUAACCCCUUGUGGGAGGGAGCUGUCGAAGGUGGGACUGGCGAUUGGGACUAAGUCGUAACAAGGUAACCGUAAGGGC